AUUGAACGCUGGCGGAAUGCUUUACACAUGCAAGUCGAACGGCAGCACGGACUUCGGUCUGGUGGCGAGUGGCGAACGGGUGAGUAAUGUAACGGAACGUGCCCAGUCGUGGGGGAUAACGUAGUGAAAAUUACGCUAAUACCGCAUACGAUCUAUGGAUGAAAGCGGGGGAUCGCAAGACCUCGCGCGAUUGGAGCGGCCGAUAUCAGAUUAGGUAGUUGGUGGGGUAAAGGCCCACCAAGCCAACGAUCUGUAGCUGGGCUGAGAGGACGACCAGCCACACUGGAACUGCGACACGGUCCAGACUGCUACGGGAGGCAGCAGUGGGGAAUUUUGGACAAUGGGCGAAAGCCUGAUCCAGCCAUUCCGCGUGCAGGAUGAAGGCCCUCGGGUUGUAAACUGCUUUUGUACAGAACGAAAAGGUUUCUACUAAUACUAGGAGCUCAUGACGGUACUGUAAGAAUAAGCACCGGCUAACUACGUGCCAGCCGCCGCAGUAA
rnacentral:rRNA from 1 species